UGGGGAAUAUUGCACAAUGGGCGAAAGCCUGAUGCAGCAACGCCGCGUGAGUGAUGAAGGUCUUCGGAUUGUAAAGCUCUGUCUUUUGGGACGAUAAUGACGGUACCAAAGGAGGAAGCCACGGCUAACUACGUGCCAGCAGCCGCGGUAAUACGUAGGUGGCGAGCGUUGUCCGGAUUUACUGGGCGUAAAGGGUGCGUAGGCGGAUGUUUAAGUGAGAUGUGAAAUACCCGGGCUUAACUUGGGUGCUGCAUUUCAAACUGGAUAUCUAGAGUGCAGGAGAGGAGAAUGGAAUUCCUAGUGUAGCGGUGAAAUGCGUAGAGAUUAGGAAGAACACCAGUGGCGAAGGCGAUUCUCUGGACUGUAACUGACGCUGAGGCACGAAAGCGUGGG
rnacentral:rRNA from 1 species